GAUUUCUGGUUUGAUGCGUUUGGCCCUCUCGGAGCAAUCCGGCGUGCGUGCCGAUGCGCGUCUGCCAUCCCUUGUAGAGAACGUUUCUACCCUUCACUGGGCCGGAUUCGCAAUCUACAUCUUUUACUUUGAAAAAAUUAGAGUGUUUAAAGCAGGCUUUUGCUAUGAAUACAUUAGCAUGGAAUAAUAAUCUAGGACUUCGGUUCUAUUUUGUUGGUUUCUAUAACUGAAGUAAUGAUUGAUAGGGAUAGUUGGGGGUGCUAGUAUUGGCCGGCCAGAGGUGAAAUUCUUGGAUUCGGUCAAGACUAACUUAUGCGAAAGCAUU
rnacentral:rRNA from 1 species